rnacentral:sRNA from 1 species
GCUGGAUGCAGUGGUGCACGCCUGUAAUCCCAGCAACUUCGGAGGCUGAGGCAGGAGGAUUGCAAGUUCAGAGCCAGCCUCUG